AGCAGUAGGGAAUCUUCCACAAUGGACGCAAGUCUGAUGGAGCAACGCCGCGUGAGUGAAGAAGGGUUUCGGCUCGUAAAGCUCUGUUGGUAGUGAAGAAAGAUAGAGGUAGUAACUGGCCUUUAUUUGACGGUAAUUACCUAGAAAGUCACGGCUAACUACGUGCCAGCAGCCGCGGUAAUACGUAGGUGGCAAGCGUUGUCCGGAUUUAUUGGGCGUAAAGCGAGUGCAGGCGGUUCAAUAAGUCUGAUGUGAAAGCCUUCGGCUCAACCGGAGAAUUGCAUCAGAAACUGUUGAACUUGAGUGCAGAAGAGGAGAGUGGAACUCCUUGUGUAGCGGUGGAAUGCGUAGAUAUAUGGAAGAACACCAGUGGCGAAGGCGGCUCUCUGGUCUGCAACUGACGCUGAGGCUCGAAAGCAUGGGUAGCGAACAGGAUUAGAUACCCUGGUAGUCCAUGCCGUAAACGAUGAGUGCUAAGUGUUGGGAGGUUUCCGCCUCUCAGUGCUGCAGCUAACGCAUUAAGCACUCCGCCUGGGGAGUACGACCGCAAGGUUGAAACUCAAAGGAAUUGACGGGGGCCCGCACAAGCGGUGGAGCAUGUGGUUUAAUUCGAAGCAACGCGAAGAACCUUACCAGGUCUUGACAUCCAGUGCAAACCUAAGAGAUUAGGUGUUCCCUUCGGGGACGCUGAGACAGGUGGUGCAUGGCUGUCGUCAGCUCGUGUCGUGAGAUGUUGGGUUAAAUCCCGCAACGAGCGCAACCCUUGUCAUUAGUUGCCAUCAUUAAGUUGGGCACUCUAAUGAGACUGCCGGUGACAAACCGGAGGAAGGUGGGGAUGACGUCAAGUCAUCAUGCCCCUUAUGACCUGGGCUACACACGUGCUACAAUGGACGGUACAACGAGAAGCGAACCUGCGAAGGCAAGCGGAUCUCUUAAAGCCGUUCUCAGUUCGGACUGUAGGCUGCAACUCGCCUACACGAAGCUGGAAUCGCUAGUAAUCGCGGAUCAGCACGCCGCGGUGAAUACGUUCCCGGGCCUUGUACACACCGCCCGUC
rnacentral:rRNA from 1 species